CCUACGGGGGACAGCAGUGGGGGAUAUUGCACAAUGGGGGAAACCCUGAUGCAGCGACGCCGCGUGGGGGAAGAAGUAUUUCGGUAUGUAAAGCCCUAUCAGCAGGGGAGAAGAAAUGACGGUACCUGAGUAAGAAGCACCGGCUAAAGACGUGCCAGCAGCCGCGGUAAUACGUAUGGUGCAAGCGUUAUCCGGAUUUCCUGGGUGUAAAGGGAGCGUAGGCGGUACGGCAAGCCUGAUGGGAAAGCCAGCGGCGCAACCGCGGUACUGCAGUGGAAACUACCGGGCUGGAGUGCCGGAGAGGUAGGCGGAAUUCCUAGUGUAGCGGUGAAAUGCGUAGAUAUUAGGAGGAACACCAGUGGCGAAGGCGGCCUACUGGACGGUGACUGACGCUGAGGCUCGAAAGCGUGGGGAGCAAACAGGAUUAGAUACCCCUGUAGUC
rnacentral:rRNA from 1 species